rnacentral:rRNA from 1 species
CGGGAAGUGUUCGGAAUGCGGCGACGUGGGCGGUUCGCUGCCCGCGACGUUUUGAGAAGUCCACUGAACCUUAUCAUUUAGAGGAAGGAGAAGUCGUAACAAGGUUUUCCGUAGGUGAACCUGCGGAAGGAUCAUUG